CUAAGGGCGUGGGGGGGAUGCCUAGGCGUCAUCAGAAAAGUGAGCGUGGAAGGCUGCGAAAUGCUUGGGGAAGCUGCCGAACGAGCGUCGAUCCCGAGAUACUCACGAAAACCCAGGGAACUGAAACAUCUAAGUACCUGGUGGAAAAGAAAUCAACAGAGACUCCCUCAGUAGUGGCGAGCGAACGGGGAAGAGCCUAAACCGCGUGGGAUACCACGCGGGGUUGUGGGACCACUCAUUGGAAUUCGUUCCGAAAGAGUCAGAAAAAUGAAGUUCAGUCAAAGCCGUCUGGAAAGUCGCGCCAUAGCGGGUGAAAGCCCCUUAGACGAAGCACUUCAUUCUCUCGAGUGGCACCCAAGUAAGAUCGGGCACGAGAAACCCGGUCCGAAUCCACGGGGACCCUCCCGUAAGGCUAAGUACUCGAUGACGACCGAUAGCGAACCCAGUAGAGCGAUCGAACGGUGGGAAGAACCCCGAAAGGGGAGGACACUGAACCUGAAACCCCAUGCCUACGAGCGGUGGGAGGGCGUUAACGCCUGACCGCGUGCCUUUUGCAUAAUGAUCCGGCGAGUUAUGGUAAUCGGCCUGGUUAACCUCUUAAGGAGGGGAGCCCCAGGGAAACCGAGUCUGAAUAGGGCGACAUUGUCGAUUGCCAUAGACGCGAAACCAGGUGAUCUACCCAUGGGCAGGUUGAAGCGACCCUAACCGGUCGUGGAGGACCGAACCCACCAGUGUUGAAAAACUGGGGGACGACCUGUGGGGAGGAGUGAAAGUCCAGCCAAACCUGGAGAUAGCUCGUUCUCUCCGAAAUAGCUUUAGGGCUAGCCUCGGACCACUACAUCGUGGGGGUAGAGCGACGGAAUUUGGAUGGGGGGCUUCCCGCCUACCCACUGAAACCCAACUCCGAAUACCACGAUGAUUACUCCGGGAGACAGAACGUGUGGGAUAAGCUUCACGUUCAAGAGGGAAACAACCCAGACCGCCGAUUAAGGCCCCCAAGACGAUACUAAGUGGCAAAGGAAGUGGGAUCGCUAAGACAGCCGGGAUGUUGGCUUAGAAGCAGCCAUCAUUUCAAAAGUGCGUAAUAGCUUACCGGUCGAGCCAUCCCGCGCCGAAAAUGACGGGGACUCAAGUAUCGCGCCGAAAUCGCGGAUUCGAAAGAAUGGUAGGAGAGCGUUGCCCUCGGCGUCGAAGGCGGACCGUAAGGACCGCUGGAGCGUGGGCAAGUGCGUAUGCCGGAACGAGUAACGAUAAGAUGGGUGGGAAGCCCAUCCGCCGAAAGCUCAAGGGUUCCUGGGGAAGGUCAAUCCGCCCAGGGUUAGUCGGGACCUAAGACGAGGCCGAAAGGCGUAGUCGAUGGACAGCAGGUUAAUAUUCCUGCACCCGGUAUGAAGGUUGAACUGCAGAGGACGCCGUGCAAUGGGCGGUCGGGGUGCUAGACGUCCCCGUGCCGCAAGGCCGACAGCAUUGUUCUGGAAGCCGCCUUGACACAUGGCCACGAAAAGCCCUGCAGGGACGACAUACUUGGCCCGUACCGUAAUCCGACACAGGUGAGCGAGGUGAGUAUCCAAAGGCGUUCGGGAGAACUCUCGUGAAGGAACUCGGCAAAUUGACCCCGUAACUUCGGGAUAAGGGGUGCUCACCGCAAGGUGAGCCGCAGAGAAUCGGCUCUAGCGACUGUUUAUCAAAAACACAGGACGCUGCGAAUUCGCAAGAAGAUGUAUAGCGUCUGACGCCUGCUCGGUGUCGGUAGGUUAAGGAAGCCGGUCAGCGAAAGCAAAGCUGGCGACCGAAGCCCCGAUAAACGGCGGCCGUAACUAUGAACAUGGCAGGACCAGCAGCCCUCAAAAGCUGCCGCCAACGUAGUUCCGUGAACAAAUUCGGCUAUAUGCUGGAAACUCCGGUGUAUCCGGUGGUACUCGAUCACAUCACAAUGAUCAGUGAAAAUCCAUCCGGUGCGGACAAUCAGCAGGAAAGGCCGAAGCUAAGAUGAUCGAUCUAAGCCAAAUUCCUGAUUCACUUGGGUAUUACUUUACUGGUUUCGUCGAUGGUGAAGGCAGUUUCAAUAUCAGCUUUCGUCGUCGUCGUGACUACAAAAUGCCUUGGAAAGUGUCGCUUUGUUUGAAUGUCUCCCAGAAAGAUCAAAUCAUUCUGGAAACCUUUCAAAAUCUAAUCAAAUGCGGCUCAAUCCGAUAUAAAGGCAACGGCGUCUGGAUGUUCGAGACGAAUCACCUCGAAUCCAUACGACAAAACAUUAUUCCCUUCUUUCAGCGUUUUCCAUUCCUUUCAGGUAAGAAAAAACGCGAUUUUAAGAUCUUUUGCCAAAUGGCAGAUCUUAUGUCAGACGGUGCUCAUCUGCAUCGGGAAGGAAUCGUCAAACUCCUAGAGUUAAGACGGGUUAUGAAUGAUGGUGGUAAACGUAAAUACUCAGAAAAUCAGAUUCUGGCAAUCAUCUAACUUCGGAAUCCUCAGAGACUAUACGCCGAACCCGAUCAUAUCGGGAUGAUAUAGUCCGACCCUUAUGGCGACAUAAGGAGCCAGGCAGAAAUGAUCUGGCACGCUCUGAAAAGCGAUUAACAAAAGUGGACGGUCCUAAGGUUAACCAAUAGCUAGCCUUAGUAAAACUUGGCUGUAUGCUGGAAACUCCGGUGUAUCCGGUGGUACUCAAUCACAUCAUGUGAUCAGU
rnacentral:rRNA from 1 species